AUUGAACGCUGGCGGCAGGCCUAACACAUGCAAGUCGAGCGGAUGAGAGGAGCUUGCUCCUCGAUUCAGCGGCGGACGGGUGAGUAAUGCCUAGGAAUCUGCCUAGUAGUGGGGGACAACGUUUCGAAAGGAACGCUAAUACCGCAUACGUCCUACGGGAGAGAGUGGGGGAUCUUCGGACCUCACGCUAUUAGAUGAGCCUAGGUCGGAUUAGCUAGUUGGUAGGGUAACGGCCUACCAAGGCGACGAUCCGUAACUGGUCUGAGAGGAUGAUCAGUCACACUGGAACUGAGACACGGUCCAGACUCCUACGGGAGGCAGCAGUGGGGAAUAUUGGACAAUGGGCGAAAGCCUGAUCCAGCCAUGCCGCGUGUGUGAAGAAGGCCCUCGGGUCGUAAAGCACUUUAAGUUGGGAGGAAGGGCUUACAGCGAAUACCUGUGAGUUUUGACGUUACCGACAGAAUAAGCACCGGCUAACUUCGUGCCAGCCGCCGCCGUAA
rnacentral:rRNA from 1 species